GACGAACGCUGGCGGCGUGCCUAACACAUGCAAGUCGAGCGAAUGAAGUUCCUUCGGGAAUGGAUUUAGCGGCGGACGGGUGAGUAACACGUGGGCAACCUGCCUCAUAGAGGGGAAUAGCCUCCCGAAAGGGAGAUUAAUACCGCAUAAGAUUGUAGUACCGCAUGAUACAGCAAUUAAAGGAGCAAUCCGCUAUGAGAUGGGCCCGCGGCGCAUUAGCUAGUUGGUGAGGUAAUGGCUCACCAAGGCGACGAUGCGUAGCCGACCUGAGAGGGUGAUCGGCCACAUUGGGACUGAGACACGGCCCAGACUCCUACGGGAGGCAGCAGUGGGGAAUAUUGCACAAUGGGGGAAACCCUGAUGCAGCAACGCCGCGUGAGUGAUGACGGCCUUCGGGUGGUAAAGCUCUGUCUUCAGGGACGAUAAUGACGGUACCGGAGGAGGAAGCCACGGCUAACUACGU
rnacentral:rRNA from 1 species